rnacentral:rRNA from 1 species
AGUGAACGCUGGCGGUAUGCCUAAUACAUGCCAGUCGAACGGAAGGACGAGAAGCGUUCUCUCCUACUGUUGGCGGGGGGCGGGUGGGUAAGAAGUAGAUAAGAAUCCUAUUAUACUGGGGUGACUUCGGAGAGACAGAGAUGAUAAUAGCGCAUAUUUUGUACGGGAGGAAUCAAAAGAGAAACGGAGUUUUGGCGUUACAUUGAGAUGAUUCCGCGUUGCAUUAGCUAGUUGGUAAGGUAACGGCCUACCAAGGCAACGAUGCAUAGCCGACCUGAGAGGGUGAUCGGCCACACUGGAACUGAGACACGGUCCAGACUCCUACGGGAGGCAGCAGUAGGGAAUCUUCCGCAAUGGGCGAAAGCCUGACGGAGCAACGCCGCGUGAGUGAUGAAGGUCUUCGGAUCGUAAAACUCUGUUAUUAGGGAAGAACAUAUGUGUAAGUAACUGUGCACAUCUUGACGGUACCUAAUCAGAAAGCCACGGCUAACUACGUG